AUUGGAUUACGCACUUAAAUCGAGUAAACUACUUACCCAAAACCCUGAAAUGAGAGCGCUUGAACAAUGUGAAAUUUGUCGCAUAGACGGGGAUUGACCGCCUUUGUGUAUAUAAGUCUACAACUUCUCAGAUUUGACUGAAGACAAUUGUUUGGUGUUGUGAAUAGAGAAAUAUAUGAGGUAGGGCAGUUUUCCAUAAACACAACAAGAAGUUCACAUUUGUUGCACAGAUUUGUGUCUCACAUGUAUGGAGUUGAAGGAAUUGUUAUAGAAAAAGGGUACAGAAUAUGAAAGGAUAUGGUAUGUUCCUGCUGAAAAAAAAAUUAGGUAAACGAAUCAAUAUUAUAGGU
rnacentral:lncRNA from 1 species